AUGCUCAAUCACAGCCCACCGCUGGUCGCCAGGCUUGGCGUAGACUAUGGCACGCCCACGGUCAAUCAUCAGGAGCACAACCGACGCUGGGGAGGUCUCUUCAGAGAUGCCAGUGUAGAUGAGGCGCUCCGAGGACUCCAACAGCCCCGUCCAGACAAUGUACGCUCUGCCGAGGUCGGGGGUGAUGGGCGGGAGGUUGGUGAAGGCCCUGGUGAGCAGGUUGAAGAGGCGCACAGCGUGGCUCGCCUUGCCGCGCAGGAGCAGAAGGCCCUCGGUGCUGGUCUCAAGGUGGUGGCGGGAGAGCUCCGGGAGAUCGACACAUGCGCUGGCACCGGUGGAGUCGUUGAGAAAGCGACGGCCGUCGCCCUCGGUGCGGUUGGACAGCAUGAUCCAGCGUCGGGGGCGGAAGCGGCAGUCCAGGCCGCCUCCCGCGCGUGGAUCAUCGGUGCAGUUCCUCCACUCCUUGCACGCAGCACGGAGGCGGAUGUACUCGGCCACGUCGUAGAGGAGAAGCCGACCAGCGAUAUCGUCAAGGAGCACCGUCGGCAGGUUCGGUCAAUCUCGCCUGCCGGCACAAGGAUAAUCGUCAGAAAUAGAAAAACAGGAGAAACUAGGAUAGAGGACGGGGAAUUUUGA
rnacentral:rRNA from 1 species